UAGCUCGAGCGGAUGAGAGGAGCUUGCUCCUGGAUUCAGCGGCGGACGGGCUGAGUAAUGCCUACGAAUCUGCCUGGUAGUGGGGGACAACGUUUCGAAAGGAACGCUAAUACCGCAUACGUCCUACGGCGAGAAAGCAGGGGACCUUCGGGCCUUGCGCUAUCAGAUGAGCCUAGGUCGGAUUAGCUAGUUGGUGAGGUAAUGGCUCACCAAGGCGACGAUCCGUAACUGGUCUGAGAGGAUGAUCAGUCACACUGGAACUGAGACACGGUCCAGACUCCUACGGGAGGCAGCAGUGGGGAAUAUUGGACAAUGGGCGAAAGCCUGAUCCAGCCAUGCCGCGUGUGUGAAGAAGGUCUUCGGAUUGUAAAGCACUUUAAGUUGGGAGGAAGGGCAGUAAAUUAAUACUUUGCUGUUUUGACGUUACCGACAGAAUAAGCACCGGCUAACUCUGUGCCAGCAGCCGCGGUAAUACAGAGGGUGCAAGCGUUAAUCGGAAUUACUGGGCGUAAAGCGCGCGUAGGUGGUUUGUUAAGUUGGAUGUGAAAUCCCCGGGCUCAACCUGGGAACUGCAUCCAAAACUGGCAAGCUAGAGUAUGGUAGAGGGUGGUGGAAUUUCCUGUGUAGCGGUGAAAUGCGUAGAUAUAGGAAGGAACACCAGUGGCGAAGGCGACCACCUGGACUGAUACUGACACUGAGGUGYGAAAGCGUGGGGAGCAAACAGGAUUAGAUACCCUGGUAGUCCACRCCGUAAACGAUGUCAACUAGCCGUUGGGAGCCUUGAGCUCUUAGUGGCGCAGCUAACGCAUUAAGUUGACCGCYUGGGGAGUACGGCCKCAAGGUUAAAACUCAAAUGAAUUGACGGGGGCCCGCACAAGCGGUGGAGCAUGUGGUUUAAUUCGAAGCAACGCGAUAGAACCUUACCAGGCCUUGACAUCCAAUGAACUUUCCAGAGAUGGAUUGGUGCCUUGCGGGAACAUUGAGACAGGUGCUGCAUGUGCUGUCGUCAGCUCGUGUCGCUGAGAUGUUGGGUUAAGUCCCGUAACGAGCGCAACCCUUGUCAUUAGUUACCAGCACGUGACAUGGUGGGCACUCUAAGGAGACUGCCGGUGACAAACCGGAGGAAGGUGGGGAUGACGUCAAGUCAUCAU
rnacentral:rRNA from 1 species